UAUCAGACUUGUUGCAAGGUUGUUCCAACAAGUAUGAUGCAGUUAUGAUAUAUAAACAACAACCUUGUUACAACCUUGUGUUGUCGACCUUGCAUUUUGCAACAAUCUUGUUAUAUCAUGACUGUAUCAGUCUUGUUAGAACAACCUUGUAACAAGUCUGAUA